CGCCCUACGGGGCGCAGCAGUGAGGAAUAUUGGUCAAUGGCCGAGAGGCUGAACCAGCCAAGUCGCGUGAGGGAAGACGGCCCUACGGGUUGUAAACCUCUUUUGUCGGGGAGCAAAGAGAGUCACGUGUGACUCAUUGAGAGUACCCGAAGAAAAAGCAUCGGCUAACUCCGUGCCAGCAGCCGCGGUAAUACGGAGGAUGCGAGCGUUAUCCGGAUUUAUUGGGUUUAAAGGGUGCGCAGGCGGAGGUGCAAGUCAGCGGUCAAAUUGCGGGGCUCAACUCCGUACUGCCGUUGAAAAUGCAU
rnacentral:rRNA from 1 species